CCGUGGCCAUGUUUCAAGGCACCAAUGGACACCAUCACCAUCAUCAUGGGCACCACCACGGUCACCAUCAUGGGCACCACCAUGGCCACCAUCACGGAAAAUAGAUUAUACAUUUGGGGACUGCAAGAAAUAUGUCAGUGUAUCAUCUGACACAAUGUGUUUUCUACCUCAGGUUUUCAUUCGAAUAAAGUUUAUUUCAUUUAAA